UCAUAUUUGGCUUCUGUCAGAUUAAAAAAGGAAACCACUCUGUGUUCUGCAGACGAAACGAAUAAAAAAUACCUCGUCUCAAGUUCAAUGAAAAUUAUUUUUCACGUGAAUAAUAAUUAUAACAAUGUUUAGAGGCUUUUUCACAUUUGUUAUAGGCCUCUACGCCGGAAUAUACUUAGCUCAAAAUUACGAUGUACCAAAAGUAGAUGAUCCACAAAAUUUAUAUACUAAGAUAAAGGAAUUUGCAGAUAAACAUAGGAAGGAUUGAAAUGAAUUUGUAGAUAAUUAAACAUUGAAUUUAAUAAAUGUGAUAUAUAUUAA